rnacentral:rRNA from 1 species
UACGUAGGGUGCAAGCGUUGUCCGGAAUUAUUGGGCGUAAAGAGCGUGUAGGCGGCCCGACAAGUCCGCUGUGAAAGUCCAGGGCUCAACCCUGGAAUGCCGGUGGAUACUGUCGGGCUAGAGUCCGGAAGGGGCGAGUGGAAUUCCUGGUGUAGCGGUGAAAUGCGCAGAUAUCAGGAGGAACACCAAUGGCGAAGGCAGCUCGCUGGGACGGUACUGACGCUGAGACGCGAAAGCGUGGGGAGCAAACAGG